rnacentral:lncRNA from 1 species
UUUGCCUUCAAAUUCUGAAUCCUUGAAAACCUACUGUGUGUGUCAAGCCGUUAUCUCAAGAGCUUUCAUAUGAAUCUCAUCUCACCCUUAGAACUCUGAGGCCGGUACCAUCUCCCAGGUUCACAAAUGAGGGAAGGUCCGUUCUCAGGCAACGCUGCAGUGGCUGUUGGAACAGCAGGAAAUGGCAGGUGGAAGAGGAGUUACUCCAUCGGAGUAGGUGUGGUCCUGAAGGAGGCGAACACCUGCUGGCUUUUGCCCCUUGAUGGUCCCACCCUUAGCUCCAGGGAAUAAAGACAAAAGGCACAGGAAGUCAGUAUUCUGCUAGCAGCCUUCAGAUGAAGAUAUAGAACUCUCAGCUCCUCCUGCACUAUGGCGGCCUGGAUGCUGCCACACUCCCACCUUGAUGAUAAUGG